GGAUGUGAGGGAGAUCUGGCUGUGAUGUCUAUCACCCCAUUGAUUGCUAGGGUUGAUUCAGCUGAUCUGACUGGCUAGGUGGGUGUCCCCUUCCUCCCUCACCGCUCCAUGUGCGUCCCUCCCGAGGCUGCACGCUCAGUCGGGUCGAAGAGGAUGAUCAUCCCCGCUAGAGGACGACCAUAUCCUUGGUCGAGGAUAUAGGAGUAGCCUCACUCCCCUACUAGAACCUCCAAACAAGCUCUCAAGGAAACUGCAGGUCAUGCAAACCCAUCUCUUCAACAAAUAAAUUAUAACUGAGAAAAGGGAAACAAUAGAUUA
ensembl:misc_RNA 7SK 7SK RNA